rnacentral:rRNA from 1 species
AUGAACGCUAGCUACAGGCUUAACACAUGCAAGUCGAGGGGCAGCAUGAACUUAGCUUGCUAAGUUUGAUGGCGACCGGCGCACGGGUGAGUAACACGUAUCCAACCUGCCGAUGACUCGGGGAUAGCCUUUCGAAAGAAAGAUUAAUACCCGAUGGCAUAGUUCUUCCGCAUGGUAGAACUAUUAAAGAAUUUCGGUCAUCGAUGGGGAUGCGUUCCAUUAGGUUGUUGGCGGGGUAACGGCCCACCAAGCCUUCGAUGGAUAGGGGUUCUGAGAGGAAGGUCCCCCACAUUGGAACUGAGACACGGUCCAAACUCCUACGGGAGGCAGCAGUGAGGAAUAUUGGUCAAUGGACGAGAGUCUGAACCAGCCAAGUAGCGUGAAGGAUGACUGCCCUAUGGGUUGUAAACUUCUUUUAUACGGGAAUAAAGUGAGGCACGUGUGCCUUUUUGUAUGUACCGUAUGAAUAAGGAUCGGCUAACUCCGUGCCAGCAGCCGCGGUAAUACGGAGGAUCCGAGCGUUAUCCGGAUUUAUUGGGUUUAAAGGGAGCGUAGGCGGACGCUUAAGUCAGUUGUGAAAGUUUGCGGCUCAACCGUAAAAUUGCAGUUGAUACUGGGUGUCUUGAGUACAGUAGAGGCAGGCGGAAUUCGUGGUGUAGCGGUGAAAUGCUUAGAUAUCACGAAGAACUCCGAUUGCGAAGGCAGCCUGCUGGACUGUAACUGACGCUGAUGCUCGAAAGUGUGGGUAUCAAACAGGAUUAGAUACCCUGGUAGUCCACACAGUAAACGAUGAAUACUCGCUGUUUGCGAUAUACAGUAAGCGGCCAAGCGAAAGCGUUAAGUAUUCCACCUGGGGAGUACGCCGGCAACGGUGAAACUCAAAGGAAUUGACGGGGGCCCGCACAAGCGGUGGAGCAUGUGGUUUAAUUCGAAGCAACGCGAAGAACCUUACCAGGUCUUGACAUCCUUCUGACCACUCCGUAAUGGGAGUUUUCCUUCGGGACAGAAGAGACAGGUGGUGCAUGGUUGUCGUCAGCUCGUGUCGUGAGAUGUUGGGUUAAGUCCCGCAACGAGCGCAACCCUUGCUAUUAGUUGCUACGCAAGAGCACUCUAAUAGGACUGCCGUUGACAAAACGGAGGAAGGUGGGGACGACGUCAAAUCAUCAUGCCCUUUAUGUCUUGGGCUACACACGUACUACAAUGGCUAUAACAAAGAGAAGCGAGACAGUGAUGUGGAGCAAAACUCAAAAAAAUAGUCUCAGUUCGGAUUGAAGGCUGAAAUUCGCCUUCAUGAAGCUGGAAUUGCUAGUAAUGGCAGGUCAGCAUACUGCCGUGAAUACGUUCCCGGGCCUUGUACACACCGCCCGUCACACCAUGAGAGUCGGGAAUACCCGAAGCCUGUGAGCCAACAUAUUUAUAUGAGGCAGCAGUCGAAGGUAGAAUCAAUGAUUGGGGUG